rnacentral:tRNA from 1 species
GGAUGUAGCUCAGUGGUACAGUGCUUGCCUAGCACACAUGAGGCUCUGGCUUCAAUCCUCAGCAACACA